GCUCAAAUUUGAAAUCUGGCGUCUUUGGCGUCCGAGUUGUAAUUUGAAGAAGGUAUCUUUGGGCCCGGCUCUUGUCUAUGUUCCUUGGAACAGGACGUCACAGAGGGUGAGAAUCCCGUGCGAUGAGAUGACCCGGGUCUGUGUAAAGUUCCUUCGACGAGUCGAGUUGUUUGGGAAUGCAGCUCUAAGUGGGUGGUAAAUUCCAUCUAAAGCUAAAUAUUGGCGAGAGACCGAUAGCGAACAAGUACAGUGAUGGAAAGAUGAAAAGAACUUUGAAAAGAGAGUGAAAAAGUACGUGAAAUUGUUGAAAGGGAAGGGCUUGAGAUCAGACUUGGUAUUUUGCAUGCUGCUCUCUCGGGGGCGGCCGCUGCGGUUUACCGGGCCAGCAUCGGUUUGGAGCGGCAGGAUAAUGGCGGAGGAAUGUGGCACGGCUUCUGCUGUGUGUUAUAGCCUCUGACGAUACUGCCAGCCUAGACCGAGGACUGCGGUU
rnacentral:rRNA from 1 species